rnacentral:rRNA from 1 species
GACGAACGCUGGCGGCGUGCUUAACACAUGCAAGUCGAACGGAAAGGCCCUGCUUGCAGGGUACUCGAGUGGCGAACGGGUGAGUAACACGUGGGUGAUCUGCCCUGCACUUCGGGAUAAGCUUGGGAAACUGGGUCUAAUACCGGAUAGGAGCCAUCUUUAGUGUGGUGGUUGGAAAGUUUUUUCGGUGUAGGAUGAGCUCGCGGCCUAUCAGCUUGUUGGUGGGGUAAUGGCCUACCAAGGCGGCGACGGGUAGCCGGCCUGAGAGGGUGUACGGCCACAUUGGGACUGAGAUACGGCCCAGACUCCUACGGGAGGCAGCAGUGGGGAAUAUUGCACAAUGGGCGCAAGCCUGAUGCAGCGACGCCGCGUGGGGGAUGAAGGCAUUCGGGUUGUAAACUCCUUUCGCUAGGGACGAAGCUUUUUUGUGACGGUACCUAGAUAAGAAGCACCGGCUAACUACGUG